GUUACCCUACAACACCAGCCUGUAGCUACAAUCAUUUUCAACUGUUUACUUUAAUCCGCCUUUUUAUUUUACUGUAUUCUAAAUAUCUGAAUACAACUCACUUAAUAAUAGAUAUCUUUACUUUAUAUAGCUUAUCAAGGUCGUAUCAAGGUCAACUGUACGGGAUGCCAGACUGGUUAUUAUAUACCACCAACAUUUAAGGUUACAUCGACAAUUCAAACAACAGAUCUAAAAGGUAAAAUGGAUUCUACAACACCUGGACAACAGACCGCGUCAUCUGAUAUAAGAACAAUGGAUUCUACAACACCUGGACAACAUACGUCAUUAUCUGAUAUAGGUACUCUGCAGUCUAAAUCACCUGGACAACAGACAUCGUCAUCUGAUAUCUAUAAAACUGUUCUAAUUUGUGUUCUUGUCAGCAUUGUUAUAAUCGGGCUUGCGAUGAUGGGUCGUAUUAUUUACAAGAAACGAAAAUGUACCAAAAACAGACUCGAAACAGGAACCGCCUCGGAUAUACCGACAGCACCAGGAACAGGAAAUGAGUCCGAAUUGUAUGACACACUAGAGAUGAAUAACCAACCUGUUGAUGUUUAUGAAUCUCUUGAACCCCGUACAGUUUAUGAGCUGUCUUAGUUCUAUAUAAUAAACAUCCUCCAUCCAAAAUAAAUCCAGUCUCAAAUUAACUUCCUCAUUUAAACUACGCAUGGCCGUGUUUUUUGCUUGGGAUUGUUCUAUUGUACAUAUUGAUACCAUGGCAGUAUGUCAACUAGCUUACUUCUUUUGUAAAUAUUGAUACCAUGGCAACAUGUCCAGGGGCCUAUUUCAAUUGUAAAUAUUGAUACCAUGGCGACAAUAUUCAAUGUUAAUAUUGAUAUCAUGGCGACAUGUCCACCGACUUACUUGUAUUAUAAAUAUUGAUACUAUGGCGACAUGUCCAAGGGUUUAUAUUGUCUACAGCUUACUUUAAUUGUCGAUUUUUUAAUGUAGUCAAUAUUUCAACUUUUUUGUUAAUCAAUAAUUGUAAUAUAUUGUUCACUUGCUCACAGAGAAUUUUGGCAGGGAUACCAUAGUUUUAACACACGAGUUUAGCAGGCGACCAUUCUCCUUGUCAUGUACAAUACUGGGGUAAAAACGAGGUCUCGCAUUGCUAAUGUUAUGUCUAUUGGUCUCUGCCUUGAAAGAAUCGACCUUUAUAGAGAAUCAGAUUUAUUUGAUAUAGUGGGUACCUUGUCCUCUAUAGUCUUAAUGUUGUGUUAAAAAUUUACCAGAAAAAUAAAGAGUAGACCGUUGCAAAAUUCCAGCAUAGCACACUGUAUGGCUUGUGCCCGUCUUCAUUAGUCGGGACAGAAAAGUAGGACAUCCCCAUUUCAUUUCGUUUCAUUUGCUAUAUCAAACACAUUCGCAAAUAUUCAAGUUUUCUCUUUUAUGUAGCCUAUAUAUUAUAUCUUAUUUAUCAUUUCGUUUUGUAUUAUUGUAUUUUGUUAUGUAUAUUAUUAUUAAUAGUAUCUAUUAUUAUGAUUACUAAGAUUAUUGUAUUUUAUGUAUAUUAUUAUUAAUAGUAUCUAUAUGCUU